GCUACUGUGGGGUAGCUCAGUCAGCAAAGCAUGAGACUCUUAAUCAUUUAAUCUUAGAGUCAUGGGUUUGAGCCCCACGUUGGGCA